GUCCCAAGCCCGAGUGUCACCCUCGGGCACGUCCCGGCGCCCUCCCCCAACGCCGGCCCUCCUAGAGUGGUGGGGGCCCGGUCGGGUUGAGAGGGUGUGCUGCCUGGGCGAGGGGCCCGGGGCAAAUGGGGAUGGCGCCCAGGCCGGCUUUGGGGUUUUGAAAAAUGCAAACAAAUUCACACCAACUUGUUGAACGGCGUUAGUCCUCAGAAUAGAACUCUAAAAAUGGAAGCGGUGGCUCACGCCUGUAAUCACAACACUUUGGGAUGCUGAGGCGAGAGGAUCUGUCGAGCCUAGGAGUUCGAGACCAGCCUGGCGAAGAUUUUUAUUUUAUUUUAAAAAAUAGCCCAGCGUGGUGUCGUGCGCCUGUGGCCCCAGCUACCUGCGAGGCUAAGAUGGGAGGAUCGCUUGAGCCUGGGAGGUCGAGGCUGCAGUGAGCCGAGAUCGCGUGGCGCUGCACAAUGGCUUCUACGCUGUUAUUUUUAGCGAAGUAAUAACUUUUAAAAGUUUUGUGGCGGCUGGGCGCGGUGGCUCACGCCUGUAAUCCUAGCACUUUGGGAGGCCGAGGCGAGCGAAUCACCAGCCUGGCCAACAUGGCGAAACCCCGUCUCUCUCAAAAUACAAAGAAAGCAGCCCAGCGUGGUGGCGCGCGCCUGUAGUCCCAGCUAGUCCCGGCUGUUUAGCGGGGUUGGGGGCAGGCGGGUGGGUGGCUGAGGUGAAAGAAUCUUUUGAGCCCAGGUGGUCGAGGCUGCAAUGAGUCGAGAUCGCGCCACUGUACCACUGCACCCCAGCCUGAGUGACUGAGACCCUGUCUAAAAAAAAAAAAAGAAAAGAAAAAAGAAAAAGAAAACAAAAAACUUAACUCCAGAUCACUCCAGAAUGACAGCUGCCUAGGGUUAUGUGACAUAGGCAACUUUAUACGUGCAGGGUUAUGCAUUGUUUUUCAAAGACAACUUAAAACGUCAUCUGAGUCCCAGUUGUGUUUUUUUGUUGUUGUUGUUUUGUUUGUUUGUUUCUUGUGUAAAACGCACAGAUUUGGAACGAGAUUAUUUGAGCAGACAAGUUGCGCCAGCGCCCGAGGCCAGAUAGGGCUCGUGGGACUUCUUCCCCCGUGAGUGGCGGGGGAUUUCCAGAUGAAGCUGUCCGGCCUCGGCCCCCACUCCCCCCCCCCGGCCCCCGACACAGCUCGCAGGGAGGAUACAGCAGAGAGGAGGGUUGGGAGGUGGGAAGGGAGCAGGCGCUGGCGCCGCGGGUCCGCCCCCUGAGAGGCCCACAGCGUUGGAGUCCCUGGCUCCAGCCAGGAGGGACUGGCUUUGUGAAGCUUUGGAGUUGUAACUGUAGGAAGCUCUCAGAGACUUUUACCCCAAUUUGUUUUCAUUUUCUGUUGUUGUUGUUGUUGUUGUUGUUUUUUGAGACGGAGUCUCGCUCUGUCGCCAGGCUGGAGUGCAGUGGCGCGAUCUUGGCUCACUGCAACCCCAGCCUCCCGGGUUCAAGUGAUUCUCUUGCCUCAGCCUCCCGAGUAGCUGGGACUACAAGCGCGGGCCACCACGCCCAGCUAAUUUUUGUAUUUUUAGUAGAGACGGGGUUUCACCAUGUUGGCCAGGAUGGUCUCGAUCGCUUGACCUCGUGAUCCGCCCGCCUUGGCCUCCCAAAGUGCUGGGAUUACAGGCGUGAGCCACCGCACUCGGUCUAACCCAGUUUCUUAACCAAUCUUGCAUGCACACAGAUACUGUUGAUCAUAUUUAAAGCUCCAAACGGACCCAUUAAAAUGGUAUCCCUUAUCCCAUUAUACCUGAAUAUAUAAUAGUACUUACUUAGCAAGAAAAAUUAAAGUAUUUUUACCCCUCCUCCCCACAUGUAAUUCAAAAUAAAAUACUAAGCCAUAAAUACUGAACCAUAAAAUGUUAUGAAGUCCAAAAAUGUUCUGGUUUGGGUUUUUUCCUAUGUUGCCAUCUUCAGUGUUUUAAGUAAUUAAAUUAUUAUGUUUUUCUUUUCUUUUUCGUGUUCCGGCGCUGUUUGUUCCCUAAGCAAAUGUUUGCUCUGCUUAUUGAUAAUCCAUCCCUG
rnacentral:lncRNA from 10 species